GAACCGGUAGCUCAGCUGGAGGAGCGCCCUGCUACGAACGGGGAGGCCACAGGUUCAACUCCUGUCCGGUUCACCA
rnacentral:tRNA from 1 species